GACGAACGCUGGCGGCGUGCCUAAUACAUGCAAGUUGAGCGCUGAAGGUUGGUACUUGUACCAACUGGAUGAGCAGCGAACGGGUGAGUAACGCGUGGGGAAUCUGCCUUUGAGCGGGGGACAACAUUUGGAAACGAAUGCUAAUACCGCAUAAAAACUUUAAACACAAGUUUUAAGUUUGAAAGAUGCAAUUGCAUCACUCAAAGAUGAUCCCGCGUUGUAUUAGCUAGUUGGUGAGGUAAAGGCUCACCAAGGCGAUGAUACAUAGCCGACCUGAGAGGGGGACUGCCCAAAUUGGGACUGAGACACGGCCCAAACUCCGCCGGGAGGAAGCGUUAGGGAAUCUUCGGAAAUGGAGGAAAGUCUGACGGAGCAACGCCGCGGGAGGGAAGAGGUUUUUCGGAACGUAAAACUCUGUUGGGAGAGAAAAACGUUUGUGGAAGUGAAAGGCCAAACAAGGAACGGAACUUACCAAAAAAGGGGCGGUAAAUUACGU
rnacentral:rRNA from 1 species